CCGUAUACAUUACAAAAAUGAAAAUCAACCCCUAAGAAUAUCACUCUUUUGAUUAAAAAAAAGACUCUUUUUAGCAUCAGAAACGCACACCUCUGGUUGAACUUUUUUAUUCUUUUUUCUGGCUGACAGACCUCUGGUUGAAUUAUAGAUACAGAUUCGUGUGUUUUGAAGACGCCGCAGUUACCUGAUAGGGAGUAUCUGGAUUAUUUCAUGAUUGUUUUAAGCUACAGGAUGAAUUUAUCUAUAUGAAAUUUUGACUGAAGAGCAGUAGCACAAGCCGACCACCUCCAAGCAGCAUGAUGAAGCUUUUUGAUUCUCAUUGUCACCUCCAGGACCAAAGAAUCUCCAAUGUUGUCCCUAAACUAAUUACAACGGCUCUUGAUAAUGGUAUAGUUUAUUUCGCUGUAAAUGGAACCUCUGAGAAGGAUUGGCCUAAGGUAAAGGAGAUGAGUGACAGCUAUCCUUGUAUACUCCCCUCUUUCGGGAUUCAUCCCCUUUGGGUCACUAAGAGGACUCCCAGCUGGUUUAGUACAUUGAAGAAUUAUUUUAAGGCUAAUCCCUGUGCAGCAGUGGGUGAGAUUGGACUGGACAAAGGUACACGUGGAAAGAAGGUUGACUUUGCUGACCAAAUUGAGGUAUUCCAGCAGCAGCUUCAACUAGCUAAAGAUUUGAAAAGACCGGUGUCUGUUCAUUGUGUGCGUGCCUUUGGAGAUCUUCUUCCAGUAAUGAAAUCUUUGGGGCCAUUCCCUGCUGGUGUGAUACUCCAUUCUUACCUAGGUUCUGCAGAGAUGGUUCCUGAAUUUGCUAAGCUUGGUGCUUACUUCUCCUUUUCAGGGUACCUUAUGUCCUUGAAAGAAAGCAAAGCAAAGAAAAUGCUAAAAUCUGUACCUGCUGAUCGAAUUUUAUUGGAGACUGAUGCACCAGAUGGGCUACCAAAAUCUGAUAAUUUGGAGUCGCUGUUUUAUAUUGAAAAAGAUUCUUCUCAUCCUGAGGAUCAUAAUGCUCAGGUUCAAAAUGCAGCUCCAGUUGAGGGCAGUUCCUCCGACAGUACAUGCUGUGAUGCAAAGAACUCCUCUGCAGUACCGAAUGAAACUCUGAAUCAUCCGGCCAACAUUAAAACUGUACUUGCUUAUGUGGCAUCGCUGCUUGAUGUCAAUCAAGAAGAACUUGCAGACAUAACUUAUGAAAAUGCAUCACGGUUGUUUUCCUAUGAAGGUUCUAAGUUAAUAUUAUAAGGUCAAGAUUAAGCUAGGCAGUGGACAAUUCCUAACAAAAGCUGCUGAUGGAAACCAUAAGUGGAUGUUGGGUGUUAUGUGCCAGAUUUUGCAGUGCUUCUUACACAGACUAGGAAUGGGAGUCUGAAAAUCAGUGAUCGUACUUCGUAUAUCGAUAGAAAAGUAGCGGCGAAAUAUAAGUUGUAUUUUCAUAAUUAGAAGAACGGUAAAGAGAACUUUUGGUGAGCGUUUGUUUCUUACUAAUAUGGUUUCUGUUCAUGUAUCAAGAUAGAUUUUGAAUUGGUUGUAACAUAGUCAACGUGUUGUGUUAUAUUCCCUAAA